CCUACGGGUGGCAGCAGUGGGGAAUAUUGCACAAUGGGCGCAAGCCUGAUGCAGCCAUGCCGCGUGUGUGAAGAAGGCCUUCGGGUUGUAAAGCACUUUCAGCGGGGAGGAAGGCGUUAAGGUUAAUAACCUUGGCGAUUGACGUUACCCGCAGAAGAAGCACCGGCUAACUCCGUGCCAGCAGCCGCGGUAAUACGGAGGGUGCAAGCGUUAAUCGGAAUUACUGGGCGUAAAGCGCACGCAGGCGGUCUGUCAAGUCGGAUGUGAAAUCCCCGGGCUCAACCUGGGAACUGCAUUCGAAACUGGCAGGCUAGAGUCUUGUAGAGGGGGGUAGAAUUCCAGGUGUAGCGGUGAAAUGCGUAGAGAUCUGGAGGAAUACCGGUGGCGAAGGCGGCCCCCUGGGCAAAGACUGACGCUCAGGUGCGAAAGCGUGGGGAGCAAACAGGAUUAGAUACCCUAGUAGUC
rnacentral:rRNA from 1 species